rnacentral:rRNA from 1 species
CCUACGGGUGGCUGCAGUAGGGAAUAUUGCUCAAUGGGGGAAACCCUGAAGCAGCAACGCCGCGUGGAGGAUGAAGGUUUUCGGAUUGUAACUCCUUUUGUUAGAGAAGAUAAUGACGGUAUCUAACGAAUAAGCACCGGCUAACUCCGUGCCAGCAGCCGCCGUAAUACGGAGGGUGGAAGGGUUACUCAGAAUCACUGGGCGUAAAGGGCGUGUUGGCGGGAUAGCAAGUCAGAUGUGAAAUCCUAUGGCUGAAACAUAGAACUGCAUUUGAACAUGGUAUUCUAGAGUAGGGGAGUGGUAGGUGGAAUGCGUUGUGUAGGGGUAAAAUGCGUAGAGAUCAAGAGGAAUACU